GGAUGUGAGGGCGAUCUGGCUGCGACAUCUGUCACCCCAUUGAUCGCCAGGGUUGAUUCGGCUGAUCUGUCUGGCUAGGUGGGUGUUCCCUUCCUCCCUCACCGCUCCACAUGCGUCCCUCCUGAAGCUGAAGAGGACGACCUUUCCCACUAGAGGAGGACCAGUCUUCGGUCAAGGGUAUACAAGUAGCUGUGCUCCCCUGCUAGAACCUCCAAACAAGUUCUCAAGGUCCAAAUACAAAUAUUUUUACAUGUUUGCAUUCUUUCAACUUUUUUUUUAACCAACACACUUUUGGAAUCAUU
rnacentral:snRNA from 1 species